AGCUCCCAUAAUUCGAAGGGGUCAAUCCCAUCUUGAUCUAUACACAGACUUCGUAAGUAUUUGACUGUACCUCAUAGCCUUCUGUCACUGCAUUAGAAAUCCAGAUAGUCCAUCACUAAAGCAUAGUGAGUUGUUUGCAAGUCACUAUGAUGAUUUCAGAUUUGAGAGACACUUACGUCCAUAUGCUUCAUAAGUAGCUCUUGACAGCAAAAUGCUUAAUAGAUGAGUCGCCUAUUCAGUGACGAUGUACUCCUACAUCUCAUCUGUAUGCUAUACCAGUGUUACCACACUCCUU
rnacentral:lncRNA from 1 species